AGGGAGAGAGAGAAGAGAGAGAGAAAGAAGAUCGAAGAACAGCUCCAUGUUUCAUCCCAAUCCAAAUUAUAACUUCUCUCUCUCUCUUUCCUCUCUCUUCUCCCU
rnacentral:ribozyme from 13 species